rnacentral:rRNA from 1 species
UACGGAGGGAGCUAGCGUUGUUCGGAAUUACUGGGCGUAAAGCGCGCGUAGGCGGCUUUGUAAGUUAGAGGUGAAAGCCCGGGGCUCAACCCCGGAACUGCCUUUAAAACUGCAUCGCUUGAAUCCGGGAGAGGUGAGUGGAAUUCCGAGUGUAGAGGUGAAAUUCGUAGAUAUUGGGAAGAACACCGAUGGCGAAGGCAGCCAUCUGGACCGACACUGACGCUGAGGCGCGAAAGCGUGGGGAGCAAACAGG